GUUACCUGGAGCGCCGGGCGCGCAGGCACAGGAAGAGCAGCAGCAGCGCGGCGGCCAGGGCGAGGCCGGGGAGGCCGAAGGGGCCCAUCCUCGAGGACGCGUCUCCCGCCGUCGAAAAUAUUGAUGGUGAUGCACAUAAAGGAAGAGAUACAGAAGCAAAAUGAAAAAAAAAAAAAAAAAACAAAUCCAUUGGUGUCUUCAAAUGAGUGAACUAUGAAAGCGAGGUCAUACUACGGAGCCGCAUGCCACCAGUCCAGCUGGGAUGAAGAGGACAAAGAGGAUUACUCUGGGUAAAGAGAAAAACCAAGCAGCAUGCUCUUAUGGAGUGGCAAUGGAGAAAUUAAUGGACAUGCACCCAUAUGGCUUCAAUCUUAAUUGAGACCACCACUGGGAAAAUUUGUGAAGGAAAAAGAGAAGAUAAGAAGAUGACACAUACUUUGUUUCAUCUAACCCUCAAAACAAACCCCUGGAGUUUCUGCUUUGAUUCUUGACUUUUCUUGGCCCUUGGAUAUCACAAAGAAUUCCACAGUGAAUCUGUCUGGACCUGGGCUCUUCUUUGUAGACAACCUGACUAAUAAAGCAACUUUGGCGAUCAAUGAAAAGGACCCUGCUUCAUAUGCCACUUGAGGGUAAAACUCCAGUUUCCCCCCUGCUCUCCAUUCACUUCUGAAAAGCAGGGAUGGUUUGCUACAGCUGGUAAGCAUGGGAGUCCUAGUUCCCCUUGAACACCCACUAAAACCUUCCUGGUUGAGAAGGGUAAAAGUGCCUGGUUACUGGUCUCCCAUGACCCCCUGAAACCUGGAAUUUAGGGUAGUAUUCCUGAUGUGGUCUUCCCAAUCACUCAGGAAGGGAAGGACCCAUUGUCUACUGAGGAUGAGCAUUCUGACUCCUUCCUCCACCUUUUCUGAUACCAGCCUUCUGGCAACAUUCAUGCACCUUGCAGGAGCCUGGCAAGUGCGUAAGCGCUCACUUUUCUCUCAGUCUCUGGUGACACAGAGUUGGCUUGAGUCACAGUUUUUCUGGGUUAUUUGGCUGGGUAGAAUGAUUAUUACAUAAAGGUGUCCUGUUUUUGUAAUCUGUCUCUUUCCUGAUCCUUUUACUACCAAAAGAAGGCUUUUGUUUUGAGUUUUAUUUUACUCUUUCUCAUCUGUUUUUCCUGUCUUCCUUACCUCCCUCUCAUCUUUCCCCAUCGCUUUUUCUUCGUUCUUCUCACUCUGUGUAACUCCUCCUCCCAGAGAUAGUUUGCUUUUACAGCUUCUGUCCUUAAAUUUCAGUCUCCGGAUUCAUCGAUCUUCAGACCACAGGGUUUAUACCAGCUGCACUUGGAGCUUUUAGGCUUUUGGUCUUAGAUUUAGGUUGCAUUAUUCAUUUCUCUGCUGUUAGGCUUCUGCUUUCUUUAUGGUUAAUUUUACUGACCUCCUUAUCCCUGUAUCUUGCAUCUGACCAUAGUGAUUUUGAGCCUUUGUGAUUAUGUGAUCUAACAAUUCCUCUCUAAUAUGUAUAUUCUAUUUGUUCUCACUGUAGAAGUCUAUUUAUACAUAAUUGUUUCAUGUAUUAUGCCUGAGUCUUUAGUUGUAUUUAGCAGGAAAAAGAGGAACGUAUGACUACCUCAUUUUCUUGCAAAUGGAAAUUUUGCUAUAGGAUUUUACUUUUACUUUUUAAAACGUUUAAUAGGUAUAUUGGUGAAAUGUGUUGCUUUUUAUUUAGCGUUGUUUUAAUAAUACUACAAUGAAACUAUCCCUAAAUUUAGGACCUCAAAAAUCUCACAUCUUCAGAUUGGCUAUAUAUUACUUGACCAAAGCUAAUUUCCAGAUUAUAAACUCUCAUGUGCUAUUUGCGAUACUGUUGAAAACACAUGUCUCUCCUCUUCUUGCAGCAGUAGAUCUUGGGAUAUAUGGAGUGUUUAAUGUGUGUCAUUGAGAAGAUCAGCUGAAAGAGUAGACACUAGCUGAAGGUACAUUCAUUCCAUCUCAUCAGAGCCCACAAGACAUACAAGGCCUCUGAUUAUAUCUUGUUUACUGACAUUUCAUUGAAGCAAAAGACUCACAUGGUCAAAUCCAAUAUCAGUGAAAUAUCGGGUAUCUCCCUGCAUGCAGUGGAAAGUGGGGAGUUGUGAUUUAUAGACAGUAAUACAAAGUGUCACUUUAUAACCUUGUCCCAAUGAUAAAAGGAAAGAAAAUUAGCUCAUAUACACUUUACAAAUGUAUCAGGAUCUUUUCUGGUUUUUUAUUAACCUUGUUUAAAAUACUUGACAAGUCUCCUCAUCUUUGCACCUGAAUUGACCACUUACCGGCUAUUUUCUGACCUUUCCUCUCCUAUUUAGUUUCAAAACAUCUUCUUCAAGUUUUGCUGCCUCCAGUUCAGUGAAAGCACCUUUUUUCCUACCUUUCUAUGCAACCAAAUAAAAAAACUUAUUUCUUGGUGACCGUAAGAGUGUGUACAGGUGUAUUUACCCAUUAUCCCUAUAGCAGUACCACCUUUCUAAACUUCCAUUUUUUACUUUAACUGUUAUGGAAAUACUGUGAUCAGGAUGUUCUACUGUAAAGAACAUCCACAUGUUUGGGUUGAAAAGUUUGGAGAUGUGAGGAAGUGUACUUUGUUUUCAGUGUGAAUGUGUUUUGUUGGAAUAUGUUUAUAUGAUGCUAAAAAGAAUCCUAGAAUCCUUAUAUCAAAAUUUUCUUUUUCUUGUGCUCUUGCACAUUUCCUGUAUUGCUGUUCAUUUAACCCUACAUAUUUAAAAGAUUUUCUCUAAUUUGAGAUUUUAUAAAACUUACAACAUCAAAAAGUUACAGGAAAGCACAACACUUGGUAUUUACCUCUUGUUUUUCAUAGAUUGUUUUCAAGGGGCCAGUCAGGAGUCCUUCCAAGGUUAUCUCUCCUGGGCUACAGUGGACUGAUAAUACUGAUCUUACUAGACUGUAAAGAAGGUUGCAUGAAAUGAUUCAUUUUUAAAAAUAAAUUUUUAUCUUUUAUCAAGUGUUUGUUGUAUAUAUUACUAAGAUUCAGUACGAUAUUUCCAUGCCUGCAUACAAUGCCAAUCACUCUAUCCUUAAACCUAUACCUAUACCUUUUAGAAUCUGGUAAUCACUAUUGUACUUUCAGGUUAAUUUUUUAAAGUUUCCAUGUAUGAGAUAGAACAUGUAGUGUUUGUCUUUUUCUAUCCAGUGUAUAUCACAUAACGUAAUGUCCAUCAUUUCUAUCCAUUUUGUGCAAAUCACUUUUUAUGGUUGAAUAACAGUGUGCUGUGUGUGUAUAUAUACUAGACUCCAUAUAUAGUAUUAUAUAAUUUUUAUAUAUUUUUAUAUGUAGAAUGCACAGUAUUUUAUUUAUCUGUUCAUUUGUUGAUUAGUACCUAGGUUGACUCCAGAUCUUAGAUAUUGUAAAUAGUACUGUUAUGAAUAUAUAGGUCUCUCCUUGGUAUGCUGAUUGAUUGCUGGAUCAUAUGGUAAUUUUAUUUUAUUUGAGAGUUUUUACUUAUUUGCUUGUUUUUUUAGAAAUCUUCAUAUUGUUCUCCAUAAUAUUUAUGCUAAUUUAUAUUCCCACCAUCGAUGUACAGUAUAAUAAUUCCUUUUUCUCCACAUACGGACUAAAACAAGACAUUGCUUUGUCAUUUUGUUUUUCAUUUCCGGAAUGUCUAAGAAUACUGAAUGUAUUUUCAUAUAUUUGGCCAUUUGUAUUCUAUCAGUAAGUGACUAUUUAGAUCAUUUCUCCAUUUAGUUUUAUUACUUUAUAUAAUUGUUCAGAGCUUUUUGUUCUGUAUGUAUUCUGUAUAUUAAUUCUGCCAGAUGAAUAGCUGCCAAGUAUUUUCUCCCAUUUUGUACACUGAUUCAUCAUUCUGUUGUUUCUGUUGCUGUACAGAAGCUUUUUAGUGUGGUAAAUUCCACUUGUUGAAUUUUGCUUUUGUUUCUUGUGUCUUGGGGUUUAUGCUGAAAGUCAAUGCAUGUACCAAUAUCUUGGAAGGUUGCUUCUCCUUCAUUUUGAAGAAUACUGUUGCUGGUAUGCUAGUAUAUAGUAAUCUUUGUUGGAAGUUAUUGUCUUUGAAUAUUUGGACUCAUUACACACAGUAUUUACCUGGCCUGUAGUGUUUCUGCUGAGAAGUCUGUUGUUAAUUUAAUGGGACCGAGCUGAAAAUGUGACUCGGUAUUUUUUUCUUGCAGUUUUAAAAGUUGUUUCCCCUGUACUUUUGGAAGUUCGGCAAUAAUAUGCUGUGUUAAAUGUCUUUUCUUGUAAUAUGUAUUGGGGUUGUAUAAGCUUCUUAUGUUUAAAUGUAUACACUUUCUCCAAAAUUAAGGAUUUUUUCUUCUGUUGUAGGCUUUCUGUGUCCUUAAUCUUCAUUGCUUUCAGUCCUGGCAUUGGUUUGGAUGUGUUUGUGACUGGCCUUGCCCUGGGCCAUAGUCGACUAGCUCCCUGACCUUCUGUUUCUCCAUUUCCCUUGAUGUCACAGAGCCUGUCUUCUGCAGUACAGAGUGCCCAUCAGGCACUCUUCCGAUCCAAGUUCUGUUCUAGAGUCACCUUCCCUGAGUCAGUGUAGUGGAAGGUAUGUGAAGUCCCAGAGAUGGGAAUGUGAUAUAGGCGAGUUUCUGACUCCUGACAGCAGUUAUCAUCUGGAAAUGGCUCCCAGCUAUAGUACCUGUGUGUUUACUGAGAGAUACAGUAAAAUACUUUUCAAAAACAAAGCUACCAUAUACAUCUCAGGUUACUUAUCUAGGUGAGCUGCAAGCCCAUAAAUAUUGAGAGGGUUUCCGGUAUCUGGGAUUACCAGCAUCAGUGCUAAUGGUCAGCUCUAUUGCUUUUACGGGCUAAGGGAAGGCUCCCCUCCCUCAGUGGUGAAGCAAAAGUAGCAGAUGCCAAGAAAUUUUGUUUCUCUUAGUAUGUUAUUUCUCAUCUCUCUGACUCUUAUGAGGUUCCAGGUUGAUACAUAGUCUCAACUUGAGAAGUCUAGAAGCUUAACUAAAUAACUCGGUGGGGAGACAAGGUCCUCAUUUUGCAAACAUCUUGACUUAGUGAAAGAGGGCACAGAGAUGGUGUGUUGUACUCACCAUGGGUAGAUUGCACACAGUAUAAAGGAAGGAAAGAGGCUUGUUCUCCCGUUUUGCUCUUGGCUGCCUUUGCUGUUUUCCGCUGCCUUGAACUGUUGCUCCUCACCUUGCCAGCCUUCCUUGGAAUCAGCUGAUGACAAACUGAAACCUUCACAAAUGUGAAGUAAGUAAACCUUUCUUUCCUUAAUUUUGGGCAUUGAAUAUAGAGAAAAGUAACUGAGACAGUCACUCACAUCAAAAUGUGGUUAUACACUUGCUACAUUGGUUCUUUGUGAAGGAAGUGAGUGUUUGAGACCUCUGUUUUGCCAUCUUUAAUAGUGUCAAUGUGAUGAAUUUUAAAUUCCUCUUGAACAAUUCCGUGUUCUCCCAGUUUUUCAAAUAUACAAAUUGAACUGAAGGGGAAAUGAUAAUUUUCUAUAUUUAUUCUUAUGCUAAGUUCUGAUCAAAUACAUUGGGAAAAAAUGAAGAUCAUUAAACAGCUGGAAUGAUUUACUUUUUGCAUUUAUUGGUUGAAGUGAUUUCCAUUUAUUGGUUGAAGUUCAUGAAGUUGGAUCUUCCUUGGGUCUAUUUGUUGUAUUGUACCAAACAUUUCAUUAGGCGUUGAUUAAAGGGUAAUAUUUCCAGCACCCAUUUGUCUAGCCAUAAGCCUUGGUUUCAUCUCCUUUGUAUGCUUUUAAGAUGGGAAUUAUGCAUUUUUAUACAUUACAAUGGACUCACAACUCACAGUAAAAACAAAUUUUUUACUGUGAAGAUGGAAACCAUUUCAUAAUUGUU